rnacentral:rRNA from 1 species
GAAUAUUGGACAAUGGGCGAAAGCCUGAUCCAGCAAUGCCGCGUGAGUGAUGAAGGCCCUAGGGUUGUAAAGCUCUUUUACCCGGGAUGAUAAUGACAGUACCGGGAGAAUAAGCUCCGGCUAACUCCGUGCCAGCAGCCGCGGUAAUACGGAGGGAGCUAGCGUUGUUCGGAAUUACUGGGCGUAAAGCGCACGUAGGCGGCUACUCAAGUCAGGGGUGAAAUCCCGGAGCUUAACUCCGGAACUGCCUCUGAAACUAGGUGGCUAGAAUCUUGGAGAGGUCAGUGGAAUUCCGAGUGUAGAGGUGAAAUUCGUAGAUAUUCGGAAGAACACCAGUGGCGAAGGCGACUGACUGGACAAGUAUUGACGCUGAGGUGCGAAAGCGUGGGGAGCAAACAG